UUCAUGUUCAACGUUUCAACGUUUGACCGUUCGUCUUAUUUGAAAAAAAUUUAUGAUUUGUAUUUUUUAUUAUUAGAUGAUAAAAUAUUAAUAUUAUUUUGUGUGACUAUUUUUUUAAUUUUUUCAUAAUUUUUUUAAAUAAGAUGGAUGGUCAAACAUUGAACACGGAUAUCCACUGCUGCGCUUAUU
rfam:Oryza punctata chromosome 1, whole genome shotgun sequence.